AAUGACGCAAAGCCAAACUGGAGGUGGAGUGGAGCGAGGCCUGUUUUCCUGGAUCGACUCCAGACAUCUGAACAAUACAGGUGAUCCAGGUGAUUGAUAUAUGCAUUUUUUUUCCUGCCCAUUCUGUUGGUUUUUGUUUUUUGCCCUUCUCCCCCAUCCCUCUUCUCAGCUGUUUCUCUUUCCCUCUUUCUUUCUCCCCUUCUUUCCCCCAGUCAAGUCUGUCCCGUAUUCAGUAAGUGAAAAUAAAAUAAACAAUAAAAGGUGAAUCAAAUGGACCAUUACGGCAAGGCUGGGAUGGUCAGUUUGGUAAAGUAAAUCCGUUGGGCAUCUUUCUUUGCCUUUAGACAACAAUUCUGAUGGCAAAAGAGCC
ensembl:lncRNA